GAAAAGGAGAGAAAGAGGAAACGUAAGCGAUCGGAGGAGGGUUAUUUUAAUUUCGGUCCAUAUUUUGUUCUUUAUUUUAUUUUUUUCAGUUGGUUGGUUGUUUUUUUGCCUGCUUUCAGCCAGGAUCCGUCUUCGAAGCUGUGUCUCGCUAUAGCUGGACGAUGAUAGCGAUUUUAUAUGAUUGUUUAUUUGUUUGUUCACUCGCUUUGAUUGUUUUUGCAGGUCUUUGAUCUUUAUCUACGAGGGAAGCUAUUUUGGACCUAGGUGAAUGAGGGCGGUGACUCGGCUAUGGCUUUCAGGGAGAGUUCCGUUUGAUUUGAUGCUGGCAACACGGAAUUGCAUCCCCACGUCCAAUGAUUCACUCUCUGAGAAGGUUGAUGAUCGGUCGAAUGCUCUAUGAUAUCUCUUUUUUGUAUGGUUUGGUUCUUGAUUGAGCUGCUGUGCUUUUCUGUUCUACUUUGGUUGAUGCAUGCAUGCUUGUUACUGUUUGAUCUCUGAUUAGGUGGUCCCGGUGGCAGAGUUGUGAAGUGCUCUGUAGUGUGCAUGUGAUGGGUUUUUGCCGGCGGAUUCAAUUGUGCAUAUGAGUUCUGAAUUUGAGUUUUCCGAUCUUUGAUGGACUGGGUUUUAGUUUGUUUUUUGUUGAUGGAUUGUUAUUGUUGAGUUGUGUCUUCGGAUGUAUUUUUCUUAAAGCCAUCUUUAUAUUAUUCACUUGGCCAUAAAAAUAGAGAUAAAAUUAAUGUUUAAUAUGAA
rnacentral:lncRNA from 1 species